GCCCCGGUGCGGCGGCGGUGGGCGAGGCGAGGCGAGGCGAGGCGGCGCCGGGAGCCUCCACCCCCGGGCCGCCCUGCCCGCGGCUCCUCAUGUGACGCGGGUAAGUCGGCGGCCAGCGCCGCGCUUCCCCCCGCUGCUGCCGCCCCCAUUCAUUUCCCCGCAGCGGCGGCCGGCCGCCGGGGAGAGCCUCUGCCCCGGCCCCCGGGAGAGAAGGGGGGACGGGCGGACGGAGCCUGGCGGACAGACGGACAGACAGAGCCGGGGGGAACCCCGAGUCGGGGGAAGGAGGCGGCUGCUCUGCGGCUCCCGCUCAGGAACACGAACACACACGCGCACACAGAAGGUGCGAGAACAUUAGAAGAGAAGCUUUCUUUUUAGUACAUUUGGUCUCUGCAAUUGUGAAACUCUUCAAAUUCACCUAAAAUUUCCGUGGACAAAGAAUUGAUUUCUUAAUGCCAAACCAUUUCCUGAAAUUAGUUGUUGCCUAGCUGCUGUUUUUUUCAAGGCAGGGACAUUUGUUUUGAUUUGGAAGCAGCUCACUUUUCAGCUGCAGGAAGUCUGAAGCUGUGUUUCAGAUGAAGGACAAUACACUGGAAAACUAGUGAUGUAUUUUUCCUUCUGCAGCAGACUUUCUCUAGGAAGUCACUGAAUCACUCAACUCUUCUGCGGCUCACUAUCUGCUUCAAUCAUUUGAAAUGUUAAUGCUCUGGAAAUUAUUGCUUUGGGAAUUGAUUAGAUUUGGAGAUUCUUACCUGAACAUGGUCUGAUAUAGACUUUGUAUAGAUUUUAAUGGUGAUAAAUGUCUCGUACCUUUAAAACUAUUUAGCAAUAAAAGGUACUAUCCAGAUGAGAAGGAUUUUUAA
rnacentral:lncRNA from 1 species